AUAACAAUCACCUGGAGGGGUCUCAUUAGAAUGCAGAUUCAGACUCCAUGGGUCUUGGGGCCAAAGAUUCUGUAAUACUAACAAGGUCCCAAGUAGCUUGUGCU
rnacentral:pre_miRNA from 1 species